CAGCGAUUUGUAGUUGUACUGAAGCAUGAAAUCCGAAUGUCAUGCUGUGAGGAUGGUCUGUAAGAGUGAAUCAAUCCACAGAAGAGGGAGGCUGUGAGGUCCAAUUGCAAAGGCUUGGCUGGUCCAGAAACCCUGCUGACUUCUGUUUCCCUGUCACUCUCACCCUUGCUCAUGGUGCCCUGCUCAGCCACUCUGGCUGCCUCUGAGACGUGUACCCAGGUGCUAUCUUCACAGCUUCCCACUGCAGCUUCCUUCAUUCUUUACCCUGACCUAGCACCCUAUUCCCUCAGAUAGGCUUCUCUUGCCAACCCCUCUGUAGAUUUCCCCAUCUUUCUAUGUUGUUAUUCUCUGUUUAUUUCCUGCAGGGCACUUUUCGCAAUUUGCAAUUGCAUACUUAUUUGUUUACUGUCUGUGUCCCAUUAACAUGACCACCACAGCCACCACCUCCAGAUGCUAAGCUCCAAGAAGGCAGGAAACAAAGUUGUUCUCCUCUUGUGGCUGGACCCACUCAGCCUCUCAUUCAUCUUUGCUAAGAAGUGAAUGAGUCUCUCACUUUUUCUCCGGGUAGUAACAGAGCAGUGAGAGUCAGCCUUUCCUGGAACUAAAUCCCAGACUCUUAGCAGCCAUGUGACCUGGGACAAAGCACUUGAACUUCAGGCUCCAAGGGAAUGGAAUAUCUUGCAAGGUAGU